rnacentral:tRNA from 1 species
GGAGAGGUGGCAGAGUGGUUGAUUGCGCCGGUCUUGAAAACCGGAGUGCCAGUAAUGGCACCGAGGGUUCGAAUCCCUCCUUCUCCGCCA